GACGAAGAACUCCGAUUGCGAAGGCAGCUGACGGAGCGCAACUGACGCUUAAGCUCGAAGGUGCGGGUAGUCAACAGGAUUAGAUACCCUGGUAGUCCGCACAGUAACGAUGGAUGCCCGCUGUUGGUACCUGGUAUCAGCGGCUAAGCGAAAGCAUUAAGCAUCCCACCUGGGGAUACGGCGGCAACGGUGAAACUCAAAGGAUUGACGGGNGCGCNCGCGAGUCCGUGGGAGGCGAAGGCACGACAGGGGAUAGG
rnacentral:rRNA from 1 species